CGCCUAUUUUUCCCCGAUUCCGAUAUUCUCUCCUACUGGGCGCGCCGAGGUGACGUCACAGCCCAAAUUGAAAAUUUUUAACGGCUCCAGCUCGGCGCAGACCGGUGCGAGGCCGAGGUCUCCGCCAUACGCGCGCUAUGUGAAAGCCCCUUAACUAUUCACUCGACUAAUGUUAAUUCAAGCUAGCUUACAAAUUUAGCACACACAGUGUUGGACUUAAGCUUCAGUUAAACGAUAAAUAUGACAGCCACAACCAGCAAAGUGUGGUCAGGAAGAGGAGAUGCACCUCACUGUGUUGCCAUGUUCAGCCGUGCAGUCUCUGAACAGUCUGAAUGACCAGAUCGCAAACUUCAUGGUGACUGGGCCCAAAACCCUGGAACAGGAGGAACAUGCCUUUCGUCCACCUGAGAAGGAGACACUGCAGAAGUCUAUGACCCUGAUGAGGCACCUACUUGUGGAUGCUCAGCUCAACCCCCCCAGACUGAGGUAUCCUAGUCCAGCUGGGAGCUGAAGGUGGAUGCACAAUAUUUAUGAUGUUCACCAAAGCUUCUUAAGUGUCCUUUUGCAAGACAGUAAUUCCUUAAGGAAUACUCCACACAAAACCGCAUAUUUUGUAUCAUUUACCACUGAUGUUGAAGGGUUUUCAAUGUAUUGAGUCCCCGGGAACCACAAGUGGUCAUUUAAGUGGGCCCCAGGGAAACUGAGUGGUACUCCAAUAAAAUCUGUGUUUUUUGACAAAUUGUAGAGUAUGAUGUAAUAUGGUUAUAAUUAUGGUUAUAUGUACUUGUUGAAAAUGUAUCUGAAAAUUAACCAAAUAAAAUCACAAAUCGUACA
rnacentral:lncRNA from 1 species